rnacentral:rRNA from 1 species
AUGGAGGUGAAGAAGGGGGCGGCUGCCAUUGCCGCGCUGUGCAUCAUGCUCCUCAUCAUGUCAGUGCCAUCCAAGCAACAGGUGGCCGCCAUGUCCUUCUGCGACUGUUACCAGCAGUGCCACGACGGGUGCAGGCACAGCGUCCCUUGGUGGCUCUGCAACGUCGACUGCGCCAGCAACUGUGACGGAGUUGACAAGAAGGACGCCCUCGCCGCAUGCAUCAUGGUCUGCAGCACGGACUCCAUCUGUGACCCGUCAGUGGCACCAACCUAUACACAUGGUGUUGCGGAUUGUAUAGCUGAGUGCAACAAGAGGUGGGGC